rnacentral:rRNA from 1 species
AUUGAACGCUGGCGGCAUGCUUUACACAUGCAAGUCGAACGGCAGCACGGGCUUCGGCCUGGUGGCGAGUGGCGAACGGGUGAGUAAUAUAUCGGAACGUACCCAGAAGUGGGGGAUAACGUAGCGAAAGAUACGCUAAUACCGCAUACGAUCUAUGGAUGAAAGCAGGGGACCGCAAGGCCUUGUGCUCUUGGAGCGGCCGAUAUCUGAUUAGCUAGUUGGUGAGGUAAAGGCUCACCAAGGCGACGAUCAGUAGCUGGUCUGAGAGGAUGACCAGCCACACUGGAACUGAGACACGGUCCAGACUCCUACGGGAGGCAGCAGUGGGGAAUUUUGGACAAUGGGCGCAAGCCUGAUCCAGCAAUGCCGCGUGAGUGAAGAAGGCCUUCGGGUUGUAAAGCUCUUUUGUCAGGGAAGAAACGGUAGAGGCUAAUAUCCUUUGCUAAUGACGGUACCUGAAGAAUAAGCACCGGCUAACUACGUG